rnacentral:rRNA from 1 species
UACGUAGGGGGCUAGCGUUGUCCGGAAUCAUUGGGCGUAAAGAGCGUGUAGGCGGCCCGGUAAGUCCGCUGUGAAAGUCAAAGGCUCAACCUUUGAAUGUCAGUGGAUACUGCCGGGCUAGAGUCCGGAAGAGGCGAGUGGAACUCCUGGUGUAGCGGUGGAAUGCGCAGAUAUCAGGAAGAACACCAACGGCGAAGGCAGCUCGCUAGGACGGUACUGACGCUGAGACGCGAAAGCGUGGGGAGCGAACAGG